ACCAACAGUGAUACGGCUCAGCUCAGAGUCAUCGGCUCUGCCUUCAUGGUACCCAGGGUGCAGACACUAUAACCUUAACUGUGACGGACUCUACAAAUGGCCUCAGGCAGCGAGGGGCACUGCUCACAAUGCCUAUGAUAGUGACAGAUUCUGGACAUCCUCAAAGACUCUGGCAUCAACACUCAUGGGCUCAACAAACAGGAACCAGGAGGAAUGGGCCCUGUGUACACCAUGCCACCAACAGAGACAGUGACAGGGACUGCAGACAUUGACUCAAACAGUGCUAGCCUCUCCCAACAACACUGAGCCCUGCAAACAAAACCAACUCCACAAAUGACAAACAGUGCCACGCUCUGCAAAUGGUGGCACCAGCAGUGACAAGCUUUGCAAACAGCUCCAAGCUCUGUAAAUAAUGAUGCACAGUGCCAAGCUCUGCAAACA
rnacentral:lncRNA from 1 species